CGCGGGAUGGAGCAGUCUGGUAGCUCGUCGGGCUCAUAACCCGAAGGUCGUUGGUUCAAAUCCGGCUCCCGCAACCA
rnacentral:tRNA from 70 species